CAGGUGGAAAAACUGAAUAUGCACUGACUUGGCCUAAGUUUUGUAGAGCUGUGAAUAAUUUUAAAAUGGGUACAAGGUGUGAAGAUACUUUUGUCAUAAGCAAAUGCCCUUUAAAGGCAUCUACUGCAGAGGAGGCUUCAAUAACCAGGCCAACAAGCUCCCCACCGGGGUAAGGGACAUCACCUAGACAAAACCCCAAUAUUCUCAGGAGCUAAAAUGUCCAAGGAAAGUGCAUCCUUCCCUACUCCCCAAGGGAUGAAGCAUGAAUAUCUA